GAUGAACGCUGGCGGCGUGCCUAAUACAUGCAAGUCGAACGGAGAUCUAGCAAUAGGUCUUAGUGGCGAACGGGUGAGUAACGCGUUGGUGACCUGCCCCGAAGAGGGGGAUAACAGCUCGAAAGGGCUGCUAAAACCCCAUGAUAUCUCACUGGUUAGAGUGGUGAGAUGAAAAGAGCAAUCUGCUUUGGGAGGGGCCUGCGUCCCAUCAGCUAGUUGGUAGGGUAAAAGCCUACCAAGGCGAAGACGGGUAGGGGGCCUGAGAGGGUGAUCCCCCACACUGGCACUGAAACACGGGCCAGACACCUACGGGAGGCAG
rnacentral:rRNA from 1 species